rnacentral:rRNA from 1 species
CUGCCCAAUGAAAAUUUUAAAGGCUGCAGUAUUAAUAACUGUACUAAGGUAGCAUAAUCAAUAGUUUUUUAAUUAAAAACUUGUAUGAAAGAUUUAAUGAAGUAUAAACUUUAUAAAAAAAAAUAAAAUUUGAAAUUAAAUUUUAAGUUAAAAUUCUUAAAUAUAAUUAAAAGACGAGAAGACCCUAUAGAAUUUUAUAUUUUUAAAAUUAAUAAUUUAUUAAUAAUAAUAUAAAUUUUAAAAAAUAUUAAAUUGGGGUAAUUUAAAAAUUAAAUAAACUUUUUAUAUGCAAACAUUAAUUAAUGAAUUUAUUAACCUAAAAUUUAGAUCAUAAAAAUAAAUUACCUUAGGGAUAA